GCAUUUGUUUUACUGUAGUUUUGAUGAGGUGCUGCCUCCGUGCCUUUCUCACAGCUGCUGUUGGCUCAGCAGGUGCCCCUGGUGUCCCUGGGAGCUGCUGGUCUGUUCUCCCAGCCCAGUGGUACACUGGAGACAGCUCAUGCUGCUCCCAAGGGGGAAUUCUGCCUGCAGGGACAGUUCUGGUGCCAUUGGAGCCCUGGUGAGAAGGGAGGGCUGGCAGUGACAGGUUUGGGAUGCUCUUCCUGGGGCACGCACGUCCCUCCCUCCCAGGCAGGCUCUGGGCUUGGAUUCUUCGGCUGACACUUGCCAAGCACUGGAAGGGCCUUGGCUGUGCAGGGAACAAAACAUUUAAGGGGAAAGCAAAGCUGGGGAUGUUCUGGCUUCAGAAAGAGGCUGCAGAAAGAUCCUUUUGGAAGGGACAGUGAACUUUUCCAGCUGUGCCAAAACGAGCCAGUGGGAUGUGAAGGUGUGGGACAGUCUGGAAGGUUCCUUGUGCCCAAAGGAUCAUGGCAAGAGCAGCACUAAAAAAGUCUGCAGUAAAUCUUGGAGUGCCUUUUGGUGCCUGUUGAGCUUGGAAGAGAUAUUGAGUGUGGAAUUGCAGGGAAGCUGCCCUUGCUGGAGUGGUCGGAGGGAGAAGCAGUGGCAGCUGUUUCCUAGCAGCUGUUUGUCCACCUUCCCCUCAGUCCCCUGGAGCUCCAGGUCACCACACCACCUUUGCUUUUCCAAGGGGUUUUUUGCUAAAGGGUUUCUAAAUGAGGCCGUGGGCUUUGCCACCGUUGGAUUUUAAUUCUGCUUGAGGAAGUGUUUCAUUGUAGGGUCUGGGAUUUACCGGUCCCCAUGCCAGGUUCACUGCAGUAGAAGCAGGCACAUAAAGCCCAGGGCCUGGACUGGGAUGCUCCAGUCCCCUGCCAGGCACAGGGGUCGUUGCUUGGUGUUGAUUCUCCAGUCCUGUCUGCUCAGGCCUUGUUCUGACCUGCUCAGCCAUAAAUGCCAUUGCAGGAGGAGCAGAACAUCCCACAGCUCCUGUGGAUCACUUGUUGCACUGACUUUGUGCUGCAGCCUAAGCUGUGGGGCCUGAAUUGCCUCCAGGCAGCCAGGAUUGUUCCCAAAUGCCACCCUCUGACUCCAUAGGGUUGUUUUCCUCCAAGCCCAGGGGCUGUUUCAGUGGUGCUGUGUGCUGCUCUUGCCUUUGCCUGCUGUAAGCAGCUUUGUGCUGCAGCUCAGUGAAGUCCAGUUCGGUGCUUAUGGUGUGGGAUUUUUGUGUGUGAUAAAAGUCCCUGUCAAUUCCCUCUGGAAUGGCUGCAUCCCUGGAUUGGGACUAACUCAGCUCUUCCCCUGCUGCAGUUCUCUGCUGCUCUCAGGAGAGGAUGGAGCUGAGGGUCCUGAGCAAAAAUGAUCCAUCAAAGCCAGGGCAGUGCUCACAGCCUGGAUCUGUCCCUGCUUUCAGAGUUCCCAUGACUGAGAAGCAGAAACAAGGAAAACAGGCUCUGUUUCUUUGCUCUCUCCACCUCAGUCCUCACAACUUCCCCCAUGCGCUCCAUGUCUCUGAGCAGCAUUUCUGGACAGCUGCCACCCCUUCUUUACAAAGAAAGGGCAAAGGUGCAGAGGGGGCUUUAGGAAGUGCCAAUCCCUGAUUGUGUCUGCCUGUGCUUGCUGUAGUUCUCCUGCCUGGAGAGACCUCCAUGGCCUGGGGUUUGUCUAGGAAAGUGAUCUUAUUAAAUUUGUUACAAACUGAUGUUUGUAGACACCAAUUUCUGAUGGGAAACGUCAUUUUACUUUUGCCUUUUCCAAGUUUUUUCCAGGUGCUGCAGAGGAUGAGCAUCUGUGUGCUCAAACUGAGCCAGGAGUCUGUGACUUCCACAGGGGACUUAAUUUUCUUUUCUUCCUCUCUUUUAAGACAGGAAAAAUCACUAAUUGCCCCAGCAAUGCUGAAAGUUUUGGUGUUUGAGCAGCCAAACCCAGCAGCCUCUGACCCUGCUGGCCUGCCUCUGCUCCUGCCCAUUCUGUGGGGUGGGUCAGAGGGACACAGGGUUCCUCUUCUCCUCUCUGCUGGGUUUAACUCCCUAGGGCUCACUGAGGCUGGGAAUUGCAUCCAGAGCAUGUUGAAGCUCCUGGUGCCUGGGACUGUGGUGUUUGGUGUGCAGAAAGCAUCCCAGGCUGACUUGGGUCUGGAUGUGCAUUGCCACAGUUUCUCGGAGUGGGAAAAGGCCAGGAGGGUGCUGGGAAGGGCUUUCUCCCAGGCCUGAGCAUCCUCAAAACACCUCAGGGAUGUUUUUUAAAUGUUUUUUGUCUCUCGUUUCCCAGCCCAGGGCUAAGCUGGAGAAAAGGUGGAGAGUGGCAAGCAGGAGUCCCAUGUUUGGAUCCACCCUUGAAUUCCAGUUCCUCCUGGUGGGUCUGUGCUGCCCAAAGUACAGAGAAAGGAGAUGUUGGAGUUCCUGUUUGUUCACCUGCUGAGCUUGGAAGAGACUCUGAGUGUGAAAUUCCAGGGAAGCUGUGCUUGCUGUAGUGACUGGAGAGAGAAGCAGUGGCAGCUGUUUGCUGUGUGCUGGUUUCCCACCUUGGCUUCCGCUCCCUGGCACUCCAGUGAGAAGAAAAUGAACUCACAGCCAUCAAGGCCUAACAGUGCAGAGCUCAGUACAUGUCAGUACAGAGACAAGUCCAGCAUCUGAGAGAAAGAAAAAAGAAAAAGGCCCUGUCUGUGAGUUAUUCCAUGCUUUGCCAUUGGACUUUGGACAAAGGAGGGGGAGGAUCUGUUCCACAUGGGUGUCAUCCAAUGCUCAGCUCUGCUCCAGUGCUUUCCUUGGGAAAGGAUGUACUGGAAUAAAAGCAAUAAUCCUGGCCCACAUGGUACCUGCCCAUGGGAGGUCAUUCCUGGCAGAAGGGACCUGCUGACUGCUGUGGUUCAAUACUUGGCUGUGUUGCAGCAACAGGAAGGGCUGCACUUGGAGCGUUCCCUCCUCUCCUGUUCUGGGAGCAGGAGCAUUGGUGUAUGCAGGGCACUGAUAGUUAUAAUAUUACCUGCAGUUUCCUGGAGCCAUGAAACAGCCAAUACCUGCAGCACAUUUGGAGAGAAACAAACUGCAGGAUACUCUUGUCCAAGCAAGAGGUUACUUUCCUUCCCCCAGAGAGCUUUGAGGUGCUUCUUGGAGUCACUCUGAUAAUCCUGGCUGCAGCCCAGCAAGGCUUCCCUGCAGUGUAAUGGAGUUCUCUGUGCCUGAGCAGGUUCUGUCCCACUGACUCCCUAAGAGUGGCAGCGCACAAUGUGCUGAUGUGGUUUUGUUGAUAUCAGCACUAAAUUCCUGAGUGACAUCUGCUGUGACAAGAGACAGACCUGCUUGAGCAACCACAGGCUUGGAGAUUUCAUGUGUCAAGAUGAUCUAGCUGAAGUAACAAGUGACUUGGAUGUUCAAAGAAUUCUUGCUAAUGUCCGUCAUAAAAGCUGAAGUAAACUGCUAUGAAAUAAAUGAACAUUUAAUCACGUAGUGACUACAGUAAUAAAAAGUGGGAGGAUACCUGUGUGUCCUCCAGAGGGAUUCCUGAA